rnacentral:rRNA from 1 species
UACGUAGGGGGCGAGCGUUGUCCGGAUUUAUUGGGCGUAAAGAGCUCGUAGGUGGCUUGGCAAGUCGGGUGUGAAACCUCCAGGCUCAACCUGGAGACGCCACUCGAUACUGCCAUGGCUAGAGUCCGGUAGGGGACCACGGAAUUCCUGGUGUAGCGGUGAAAUGCGCAGAUAUCAGGAGGAACACCGGUGGCGAAGGCGGGUCUCUGGGCAGUAACUGACGCUGAGGAGCGAAAGCGUGGGGAGCGAACAGG